AGUGAACGCUGGCGGUAGGCCUAACACAUGCAAGUCGAACGGCAGCACAGUAAGAGCUUGCUCUUACGGGUGGCGAGUGGCGGACGGGUGAGGAAUACAUCGGAAUCUACUUUUUUGUGGGGGAUAACGUAGGGAAACUUACGCUAAUACCGCAUACGACCUACGGGUGAAAGCAGGGGAUCUUCGGACCUUGCGCGAUUGAAUGAGCCGAUGUCGGAUUAGCUAGUUGGCGGGGUAAAGGCCCACCAAGGCGACGAUCCGUAGCUGGUCUGAGAGGAUGAUCAGCCACACUGGAACUGAGACACGGUCCAGACUCCUACGGGAGGCAGCAGUGGGGAAUAUUGGACAAGGGGCGCAAGCCUGAUCCAGCCAUACCGCAUGGGUGAAGAAGGCCUUCGGGUUGUAAAGCCCUUUUGUUGGGAAAGAAAAGCAGCAGGUUAAUACCCCGCUGUUCUGACGGUACCCAAAGAAUAAGCACCGGCUAACUUCGUG
rnacentral:rRNA from 1 species